rnacentral:tRNA from 2 species
GGUGUUAUGCCAGAAUAAUUGGGUUAUCUUGAUGAGGUAAAAUAUAGGAAUAUUCCUUGGCACUU